CCAGACUCCUACGGGAGGCAGCAGUGGGGAAUAUUGCACAAUGGGGGAAACCCUGAUGCAGCGACGCCGCGUGAAGGAAGAAGUAUUUCGGUAUGUAAACUUCUAUCAGCAGGGAAGAAAGUGACGGUACCUGACUAAGAAGCUCCGGCUAACUACGUGCCAGCAGUCGCGGUAAUACGUAGGGAGCAAGCGUUGUCCGGAAUUACUGGGCGUAAAGGGCGCGUAAGUGGGCGCUUAAGUCAGGUGUGAAAACUCCGGGCUCAACCUGGAGACUGCACUUGAAACUGGGUGUCUUGAGGGCAGGAGAGGAAAGUGGAAUUCCUAGUGUAGCGGUGAAAUGCGUAGAUAUUAGGAGGAACACCAGUGGCGAAGGCGACUUUCUGGACUGAAACUGACGCUGAGGCACGAAAGCGUGGGGAGCGAACAGGAUUAGAUACCCCGGUAC
rnacentral:rRNA from 1 species